rnacentral:rRNA from 1 species
GAUGAACGCUGGCGGCGUGCUUAACACAUGCAAGUCGAGCGAGAAGUUUUGAAAAGAUUCUUCGGAUGAAAUUUAAAAUGGAAAGCGGCGGACGGGUGAGUAACGCGUAGGCAACCUGCCCCAUACAAAGGGAUAGCAUUUGGAAACGAAUAGUAAUACCUUAUGAAACUUAACUAGUGCAUGCUAGGUAGGUCAAAGAUUUAUCGGUCUGGGAUGGGCCUGCGUCUGAUUAGCUAGUUGGUGAGGUAACGGCUCACCAAGGCGACGAUCAGUAGCCGACCUGGGAGGGUGAACGGCCACAUUGGAACUGAGACACGGUCCAAACUCCUACGGGAGGCAGCAGCGGGGAAUAUUGCACAAUGGGGGAAACGCUGAUGCAGCAACGCCGCGUGAACGAUGAAGGCCUUUGGGUCGUAAAGUUCUGUUCUAGGUGAUGAAAACUGACAGUAACCGAGGAGAAAGCCCCGGCUAACUCCGUG